GGGUGAGGCCAGCUUCGGUCUGGAAUGGUGGCCAUGGCGAGUUCCGUGCGUCCCGUCUUAAACGGUUCUCAUUGACCCGUCCUGCGUGGGACCACAACACAGCUGGCUGUAUGAUGUGAGGCGGGAGCAGAUGAAAGCCUCCAGGAGCCUUCAGAAGAUGCCACACCCCACGACCCGCUGCAGUGGCUUAUCAGUGAGUCAGCUCCAGAUGUCAGGAGACUGGAUGUGGAGGUGGCGGCUGGGGAUGUGUACAGUGGAAGGGACAAGUAGAGGAUAAGGAAGUUAAAAAGAGCAGCAUAAGAACCAACGCCAGUGGGAGCGGAGGAGCAGCACAGGAGGAGGAGCUCUGGAGGAGCAGCACAGGAGGAGGAGCACAGGAGGCGACUGUAACACCUGGCUGUUGGAUGGGAGGAUGAGAAACCAAGAGUUAGCAAAGAAAGGCCCCGGCUGGGAAAGAGUCAGUGUUUGGACUGUAAAGAGUGCCCCCCCCCCCCCCAGCUAAGACAGCUAGAGGCAACACUGAAGUCCUCAGCCAGCAGGCUUCCGACCACCACAGGGGUAGACAGUGGGCCGGCUUUUGUGUUCCAGGUCCACUGGAGACAGGAGGAGGAACGCAUGAGCUUAUUCGGUGAGGUGACCAAGGAGACGCCAAGACUCACGUUUGUUUUCCUAUCCGGAUCCAACCUGCACAUUUCCCCAAGAAAUCCCCACUGCUCUCGCCUUCCCGUUUGGUACUACGUAGGGAUGACCACACGGGACUGGCCGGCUCCCCAAACCUUUGUACGCUCGUUUCCCAAGUGAGUCCCCAAAGCCAAGGCUGUCUCUGAUCACACUAGCAGGGAAUGGAGGAAAUGAAAUAACUGUGCAGUAAUAUCAAGAGGUGGGUGAGGGGACUGGAGAGAUGACCCAGUGGUUAAGAGCACUGGCUGCUCCUCCACGGGAUCUGAACUCGAUUCCCAGCACCUUCAUGGAGGCUCACGACCAUCUCUUAACUCCUGUUCCAGGCACACAAGCGGUUCACAGACAUACAUGCAGACAAAAUACCCAUGCACAUAAACUUUAAAGAAAUUCUUAAACGUGGAUUUGGGAGAGCUGGUCCUCCGAGCUUAGCCUGACCAUCACCAUCCUGGGACAUGAGUUACCAUGGUGAUUGAGCAGAGACCCCAGCUUGUGACUGGGACAUAGCAGAACUUAAAUAAAAUUGAGGGGAUAAUGAA